AAACUUUUGACAACGGAUCUCUUGGUUCUCCCAUCGAUGAAGAACGCAGCGAAACGCGAUAGGUAUUGUGAAUUGCAGAAUCAGGGAAUCAUCGAAUUUUUGAACGCACCUUGCGCUCCCUGGUAUUCCUAGGAGCAUGCCUGUUUGAGUGU
rnacentral:rRNA from 1 species